GAUGAACGCUGGCGGCGUGCCUAAUACAUGCAAGUCGAGCGAACAGACGAGGAGCUUGCUCCUCUGACGUUAGCGGCGGACGGGUGAGUAACACGUGGAUAACCUACCUAUAAGACUGGGAUAACUUCGGGAAACCGGAGCUAAUACCGGAUAAUAUAUUGAACCGCAUGGUUCAAUAGUGAAAGACGGUUUUGCUGUCACUUAUAGAUGGAUCCGCGCCGCAUUAGCUAGUUGGUAAGGUAACGGCUUACCAAGGCGACGAUGCGUAGCCGACCUGAGAGGGUGAUCGGCCACACUGGAACGGAGACACGGUCCAGACUCCUACGGGAGGCAGCAGUAGGGAAUCUUCCUCAAUGGGCGAAAGCCUGACGGAGCAACGCCGCGUGAGUGAUGAAGGUCUUCGGAUCGUAAAACUCUGUUAUUAGGGAAGAACAAAUGUGUAAGUAACUAUGCACGUCUUGACGGUACCUAAUCAGAAAGCCACGGCUAACUACGUG
rnacentral:rRNA from 1 species